rnacentral:rRNA from 1 species
AGAGUUUGAUCCUGGCUCAGAACGAACGCUGGCGGCAGGCUUAACACAUGCAAGUCGAACGGGCGUAGCGAUACGUCAGUGGCAGACGGGUGAGUAACGCGUGGGAACAUACCCUUUGGUUCGGAAUAACUCAGGGAAACUUGAGCUAAUACCGGAUACGUCCCUGGACGAUAAGUCUGGGGGGAAAGAUUCAUCGCCGA